rnacentral:rRNA from 1 species
CCCUUAGAUGUUCUGGGCCGCACGCGUGCUACACUGAGUGGAUCAGCGGGUCAGGUUGCGCGAAAGUGUUUCCUAAUCUUGAAAUCCGCUCGUGAUGGGGAUUGACGGUUGCAAUUUUCCGUCAUGAACGAGGAAUACCUUGUAAGCGCGGGUCAUCAUCCCGCGCUGAAUACGUCCCUGCCCCUUGUACACACCGCCCGUCGCUCCUACCGAUUGAGUGGUCCGGUGAGGCUUUGGGAUCUGAGCGGAAAGAGCGUUUCGCUGUUUCUGCUCGGAAAACUCAGUCGAACCUUAUCAUUUAGAGGAAGGAGAAGUCGUAACA